AUACAGAGGGUGCGAGCGUUAAUCGGAAUUACUGGGCGUAAAGCGCGCGUAGGCGGCUUGGUCAGUCGGAUCUGAAAGCCCCGGGCUCAACCUGGGAAUGGCAUUCGAUACUGCCAGGCUAGAGUAUGGGAGAGGGAAGUGGAAUUUCCGGUGUAGCGGUGAAAUGCGUAGAUAUCGGAAGGAACACCAGUGGCGAAGGCGACUUCCUGGCCCAAUACUGACGCUGAGGUGCGAAAGCGUGGGGAGCGAACAGGAUUAGAUACCCUAGUAGUCC
rnacentral:rRNA from 1 species